GACGAACGCUGGCGGCGUGCUUAACACAUGCAAGUCGAACGGAAAGGCCCUGCUUUUGUGGGGUGCUCGAGUGGCGAACGGGUGAGUAACACGUGAGUAACCUGCCCUUGACUUUGGGAUAACUUCAGGAAACUGGGGCUAAUACCGGAUAGGAGCUCCUGCUGCAUGGUGGGGGUUGGAAAGUUUCGGCGGUUGGGGAUGGACUCGCGGCUUAUCAGCUUGUUGGUGGGGUAGUGGCUUACCAAGGCUUUGACGGGUAGCCGGCCUGAGAGGGUGACCGGCCACAUUGGGACUGAGAUACGGACCAGACUGGUACGGGAGGCAGCAGUGGGGAAUAUUGCACAGUGGGCGGGAGCCUGAUGCAGCAACGCCGCGUGCGGGAUGACGGCCUUCGGGUUGUAAACCGCUUUCGCCUGUGACGAAGCGGGAGUGACGGUAAUGGGUAAAGAAGCACCGGCUAACUACGUG
rnacentral:rRNA from 1 species